rnacentral:rRNA from 1 species
AUGAGCCCGCGUAGGAUUAGCUAGUUGGUGAGGUAAAGGCUCACCAAGGCGACGAUCCUUAGCUGGUCUGAGAGGAUGAUCAGCCACACUGGGACUGAGACACGGCCCAGACUCCUACGGGAGGCAGCAGUAGGGAAUAUUGGACAAUGGGGGAAACCCUGAUCCAGCAAUGCCGCGUGAGUGAUGAAGGCCUUAGGGUUGUAAAGCUCUUUUACCCGGGAUGAUAAUGACAGUACCGGGAGAAUAAGCUCCGGCUAACUCCGUGCCAGCAGCCGCGGUAAUACGGAGGGAGCUAGCGUUGUUCGGAAUUACUGGGCGUAAAGCGCACGUAGGCGGCUAUUCAAGUCAGAGGUGAAAGCCCGGGGCUCAACCCCGGAACUGCCUUUGAAACUAGAUAGCUUGAAUCCAGGAGAGGUGAGUGGAAUUCCGAGUGUAGAGGUGAAAUUCGUAGAUAU